UACGUAGGGGGCUAGCGUUGUCCGGAAUCAUUGGGCGUAAAGCGCGUGUAGGCGGCCCGGUAAGUCCGCUGUGAAAGUCGGGGGCUCAACCCUCGGAUGCCGGUGGAUACUGUCGGGCUCGAGUACGGAAGAGGCGAGUGGAAUUCCUGGUGUAGCGGUGAAAUGCGCAGAUAGUCAGGAGGAACACCAAUGCGAAGGCAGCUCGCUGGGACGUUACUGACGCUGAGACGCGAAAGCGUGG
rnacentral:rRNA from 1 species